GCUCUCAAUAAUCACACUACUAUCCUACUACUAAUUAAACAGCAACAUCCUUUGUCAUCCUUCAUAAAAACACUUUGUGUUCCGUCUCAGAAGUUUAUUUGGCUGAUGGAACAGUAAACUGAGAAGAGACAGCAGCAGAAGCCUUUCUCUGAGCUCUCCAGUGCUGGAGCUGGAUGUGUCGACUACUGCCGACUACUGCUGACUGACUCAGCUCCCUCCUACAUAUGACAGCAGGAAUACAUUAUUGGAUGAUGAACUCUGGGGCUGUCAGAGAGAAACAAGCAAAUAACUAAACGAAAGGAGACAUCCCGUCAACACGCUGAAGAUGCUCGUGGAUAACUCAACUCAUGCUGAGCGAAUGUGACUUUACUAGACAGCAGACAGACAGUCGUAUUCUUUCAAAGGCUUCUUCUUCUGUAACUUGUGUUAUGUUCUAACCUGUUCCCUUUUGAGUAGAAUGGCACCCUCAUUUCCUUUCAUAAGUGUUAAACUGCAUAGUUUCUCCAGCCCAGCUGUUCUCCCGUGUCGCAUAUGCUGAACUGCUCUGGUUUAAUUGUAAUGAGGCAGAGGGAGAGAGAAAAGUGAGGGUUAUAAUCAUUACAUAGACCCACUUCUCUAUAGUGUAAUUUUAGCUAUGCUCAGAGGGAACAUUGAUUGCGUUAUUCCUAGGAUGUUAUGUAUUGCAGUUACAAAUCCCUUUCGUAUAAUCUUAAUUGCAGUAUAUGGAAUUGACCAAAAGCCAUAGUAUCAAACAUACAGAAAAAAGUCAGAACAGUG